rnacentral:rRNA from 1 species
CCUACGGGAGGCAGCAGUGAGGAAUAUUGGUCAAUGGACGAGAGUCUGAACCAGCCAAGUAGCGUGAAGGAUGACUGCCCUAUGGGUUGUAAACUUCUUUUAUAUGGGAAUAAAAUGUUCCACGUGUGGGCUUUUGUAUGUACCAUAUGAAUAAGGAUCGGCUAACUCCGUGCCAGCAGCCGCGGUAAUACGGAGGAUCCGAGCGUUAUCCGGAUUUAUUGGGUUUAAAGGGAGCGUAGGUGGAUUGUUAAGUCAGUUGUGAAAGUUUGCGGCUCAACCGUAAAAUUGCAGUUGAAACUGGCAGUCUUGAGUACAGUAGAGGUGGGCGGAAUUCGUGGUGUAGCGGUGAAAUGCUUAGAGAUCACGAAGAACUCCGAUUGCGAAGGCAGCUCACUGGACUGCAACUGACACUGAGGCUCGAAAGUGUGGGUAUCAAACAGGAUUAGAUACCCUAGUAGUC